rnacentral:rRNA from 1 species
UACGGAGGGUGCGAGCGUUGUCCGGAAUCACUGGGCGUAAAGGGCGCGUAGGCGGCGCGGGAAGUCCGUGGUGAAAGCCCGAGCUCAACUUCGGGUCGGCCAUGGAUACUCCUGGGCUUGAGCACUGUAGAGGCAGGUGGAAUUCCGGGUGUAGCGGUGGAAUGCGUAGAGAUCCGGAAGAACACCGGUGGCGAAGGCGGCCUGCUGGGCAGUAGCUGACGCUGAGGCGCGACAGCGUGGGGAGCAAACAGG